rnacentral:lncRNA from 1 species
CAAGUUCCGCAGUCGUCUCAUUCUGUUCCGCUAUCACAUUAUCCCGGAUAGCCAGUGUUCUUUCUUCGUCAUUUCCUGUCAUUUUUGAAUGAUGGUCUGAGGAUGGGAUUUUCUGUACUUUCGAUCGGGUGAAGUAGGGAUGUUCUGCCAGUUUAUCAACACGGAGUAAUUUCUGUUAUCUGCAAAGUAAAACAACUCAAAGGCAAAUGUGGUAGUUUCCGUAUGUGAUAAGUAAUGCAAAAUAUUUGACAGAAAAUAAUCACACAAAGUUGUUCGCAUCAUAGCCAAAUUCAUCCAUAGGUCAUAGUGGAUAAACUUGCCUUUGAUCUCAACAAACGCAUAUAAGCACAUAAAACAGUUAUAUCACACAAGACAUUAAAAUAACGCGUAUCCUAAUUGGGAUGACCCUUUUUGAGCCAAGGGUUCAGGCCUAAAGAUUUUUUGAAGAAAAUAUAUGCUUCCUCAAAGUCAAUUCAUUAACCCCCAACUCAUAUAGACACAAAAAGGGCAUAAAUGCCUACAAAAGAUAACGAAACAGGAAAAAUUGUGCCUUGCAGUCGUAAGUCAUUUCUCCUAUGCUGUCGAGUUGGGAGGCCAUGCUAUCAUCCAAAUCGAUUAGGCAUUGCCUGGCAUCAUCAGCGUCUUGCCUAGCUCUUUUCAACUCUUCCCUCAACGUAUGUAUGGGCAAAGCGUCUUCCAUGUGCAUCUGCCGGUGUGCAAUUUCACUUUUAUAGAACUCAUUUUGUAGCCUGUGAAGCCGAAUUUGAUGCUCGGAUUCUACAUCCACAACCCGAGUGGGCACAUUUGGUCCCGGAUUCAAUGCUCCGGCGAGGCUUUUUUUUAACCACUCCUUGUAAGUGUCGCUGACUUCAGGUUCAUACCCUAUACGGAAAAAGACUUUUACCCACUUUUUCCUUCUCCACCCAUUUAUCAUGUAGUCUUUGAGCGAGGGCUUACUUUCAUCAUAUUCAGUGAAGAAUCUGAGUAUAGAAUCGAUUUGAGGCGUCUCCUGCUUGAUCUUGAAUUGCCUAAGAACUCUGCCAGGAUUGUAGGGGCGGGUUCCCCUGAAACCCGGGAGCACUAAAAAAGGCCAUUCGCCCCCUCGAAUGAUGUAUUUUCCUGAACGAAUAUAGUUAAGGGACCAUUGGACAUCGCCAUUUCUUAAUUCUCCAAGAGUCUUUAACCAAAAUUCGUGGGAUGCUUCCUUUUUGAACUUGUGUAAAAAUAACCACAUGUCGUGUGAUUCUAGAAGAUUUCUCCUUGUUUUGGGAUCAGGUUGUGUCGUUCUAGGAUUUUUCACCAAAUGCAUCAUCAUCCACCAUUGUAAUAUAAGGUUGCAGCCUUGAAAGAAACGAUUCUCGACUUGACAUCUUCCCAAAGCGCGAUAUAUGUCGGCGACAAUCAUAGGGGCUAAGUUAUGGAAUACUUUUUUAGAAUUGUAUUCCAUUCCAAAGAAGAGUGCAUGGGUCACUGUUACAACCCUCGAACGAAUUGUGCCAUUUUCCCCCUGCGGGAACACCAUGGUUCCAAGUAGGCCUACCGCGAAUGCAAAAGCUCUCGUUUCCUUCCAUUUUGCUUCCGUCUCCAAUUUAUGCCUAAAUUUGUGAAAAGAGUUGAAUCUUAUGAACCGAUGGUACAACUCACAAAAAGUGAUAUUUACUCCAUCCCGUUCUCCUAGCCAGGUGUCGUCAUCAGUUAAAAAUGCUUCCCUGAUCUAUUGACGAUCCUACACAUCCGGGACUAAAAUAUUCUUAUUCGGUGUCUCCUUUCUCUUAAAACACAUUUCCGUGCUCUCGUAGCAAAUCAAUACCUCUUCAAUGGUGGGGGUCAAUUCAACAUCCCCGAAGCGAAAUACCAUGUUCUGAUCAUCCCAAAAAGUUGUUAGUACAUGGAUCAUUUCGGGCCAAGCGUUCAUCUCGAUCAAAGAAGGAAGAUGCCCAAUGUGUGUUCUAACAAUCUUUCUCUCUUCUGUACCCCUGUAAUCCCACCAUAGUUUCAGGUUAUCGUCAGGUUUGGUGACCAUCUUAAACUUUUCACGGGAAUGCAAUUGAGCUAUAUCUACAUAAAAGAAGACAAAAUAAGCCUUUCCCCGACCCCAAAGGAUAAUGGAUUGAAUUUAGACAAGCAUAUAUUUCUUCAACACAUAAGCAUGGUUCAUUUGUGACUGACUCGAGGUCAAAUAGACAUAGGGCAGGUUUUCUAAUGGUCCCAAUACCCCGCUCGGAUGUUGGGUCGUCCUAGGCACAUGCCUAAAAUAGAGUUUUGGUUUCGUUCUAUCCUCGGUGUCUAGAGUGGGCUUGGACACUGGCUCUCAAGCGGACAACUUGAGUUUGAAAAUACGAACAACGUCAGACGACUCACGUGCUGAUAAGCUGUUCGUAUUUCGAACACAUUUUGAAAUUUAACAACAAAGGCCGGGACAUCUACGAAACCCCAAAACAGUUUAUAAGAUGCAGGAAAUGCCACGAGAUGCGAUAAUUAAACUUUACAUAAUCGAAACACAUAAACACAUAAACAGUUAAUCAAAGACGACAUAAAACAUUUGGUCAGAACCUAGUUAGGUCCCCAGUAGAGUCGCCAUUUCUAUUUUGCGGAGAAAUUUUGACUUUUUGAGAGAGAGUCGCCACUUAAUUUUGAAAAGAAAUUAAAAAACCUUUAUAAAAGUUACUUCAAACGAUUCAAAACAGAAAAAUCAUUUUAAGUCAGAGAAUCUAGAUAAGCGGUUCCUAUUAACGUUUUAGGAAGGUUUUAAGCACCUAAAACGUCCGCUAACUUGCGGUUAUCCAGACUGUUUGAAAAUGUCUUUGAUUAACUUUGAGAAGUUGAAUUUUUGAAAAAGAAAACCGAUUUUAGUAAUAUUUUUGUGUUUAUGCAAAACCAAUUUUUUAGCGACUUGACUAAAGAUUUAACUAGGUUCACAAAACACAUAAGGCAAACAAUCAUAAAGAAGAGGGGAAGGGGAGGAAAUGAGGGAUUUAGGCCAUUGGCCCAAACCAAGAAAACCUGUCCUAAUCUAAUUGGUCCUUCGACCCAUUUCACCUGUCCUAAUCUAGCUUUUGAGCCUUUGGCUCGAGUAUUUCUCCACCUGUAUUAAGAUAAAACUUUGGCUUCGAGGCCCAAAUAAAUAAUCGAAGGAAUAAAUGAAUACGACAAAAAUAAAUAAAUAAUGACGAAAAAUAAAUAAAUAUAAAGGAGACACGAGUCUCAUCGCCACUUCAAGAAUGGGACUUUAAUCUAUUCUUCUUUUCCAACUCAACAGGUGUAUGUGCCAUAGGAUUACUUUUGAGCUUAGAACUUCAGGCUUGACUCAAUGAUGAUGGGCCUCAGUGGCCCAUUAAGGAAUGUAAGGGGAAUGAGUACGCUUGAACUCCAGAGCGUAUUCAUGCGAAGAAAAGAAAAGUAUAGGAAUUAAUAUAUGUUCAUAGAAACAAAUUAUUCCAACAACACAGGAAAUUCUGAAAUCAAUACCCCAUACCCGAGCAUAAAAUGAAAGAUUAGGUGCAAGCUCACUGAACAAACACUCGUAUCUAAUGAUUUUAAAUUUUUAACAUAAAUAUUGAAGGGAACACGCUAUAUUACACCCUAGUGACUUUGCAUGGAGGCGUGUAUAUGAAUGAAAGGAUUCCAGUAAAAGAAAAGGCACUCUUCCUGACCUAAUAUAUUAGUUAUUUAAUUGAGAAUAGGAUAUGAUGUUGGUCUUAUUUUCUAUGCUAUUAAAUGUUGCAAUAUUUAUUAGAGGAUCGUCAGUGAAUAGUAAACCCCAACCAAUUCCCUUUGUGACAAACAGACAACUUCACAAACUUAUCAAUGAAAAACAGACGGAGGCUAAGGAAAUUUCAUCAACUGCCCAUCAAAGUGUUUAACCGUAAUACCAAACCGAACUAUUGAAUAAGAUCAAAGCAAAAAUACUCAACUACAAAACCAACGCACCGUUGAACUGAAACUAACCAAACACCAAACUUUAACAUAGGAAUCAACUAUAACAAGAUACCUUCAGCCCGAAAAUCGUCAAAACAUGCAACUUUACUGUAAAGUUAGCUACAACCGAAUACCUUCAAGUCGAAAACGAAAACGAAAACGAUCAAAACAUGAAAUUUGACAUAAAGUCGGCUAAAACCACAUAUUAUCAACCUGAAGACUAUUAAGUCACGAUACUUUAAUGAGGUCAGCUGCACAAACCUUAAGUGGUUACACAAACAUGAGAGUAUUCGAUAAAAAAUCAAUCAAUAAUGUUGUUUUUUUUUCACUAAGACAACGACCUACAGUCUUCAAGACUUCCAACAACAGACAACUCAGCAAGCAAUAUCGCUAUAAAAACUUAUAACUAGAGAAGAUUGAGAUAAAGCAGAAAUGAACAAAAUUCGAUGGAACGGGGAGUUACCUAUUUCGUGGCAGAAAACGUGACUCAAGCUAUCAGCAAAAUCGUCCCUACUGGGAGCUCGUAUUGUCGAUUCGGAAACUCUCCAAUUGAUCGACUAGCUUCCCAGAAAAAUGGACAAGAAAAUUUUAGCAGAAAAAACAAACUCUUAUUUUCAGAAUUCCCAUACCCCAACUUUCGAGCUAGCCUUUCAAUCCAACCUAAAGAUUUCUCCUUAUUCAAACCUCCAAUCUUCUCCCCUAAUUUUUUCAACCCUAAGCCUAGUAAUAGUUACCAAAAUAAAGAAAAAUCCCCAAAGAAAUAAAAAAUUUCCUCGUCUCUUCAGACCUAAUGAGAGCUAUUUAUAAAAGGGGGGGUUGAGGGUUCGUUUUUGAAUUCAAAAGAGGGUAAUACUCACAAAUUGUACCUCUAUUGAUUUUCUUGAAUGGAUUUUCAACAGAUGUCCAACAACCAUUAGGGGAAAUGGAUCAUUUUCCCAAGAACCAACGAAAAUUUGCCAAACAGGUAUGAAUUCAUACGCGUUAUCCCAAAAAUCAUGGAAUUUGGACGUUGGGGGUAACACCUCACCCUUUUUCUACAAGAUUUCAUAUCAAAAUCGUGUGGAAAAGCAUGUGACUGUGAAGAGGAAGAAGAAAAUGGGUUGGAUGCGGGUUGAGAUAAGGGGAAUCGGGGGAAAAUGGGUUGAUUUGGAUGGAUUUCGGUCGAAUGGGUCGGUGGGUUUGAAUGUUUUUUCACUGAAGCUGGGAAUUGUUGUUGUACGUUGUAUUCUUGUUCUUGGAUGGUUGUACACGUAGGUUCUUGAAGAAAAGAGGAUAAAGAUUAUGGGACUGGACCGGGUCGGAGGGAUUUUGGGACUGGGUUGGUGGGUGUAAUUGGGCUGCUGAGUUGUUGGAUUAAUUAGUGAAGGGAAUGUGCUGAUUUUGGUUUUGACUAGGUUAUGUUGGG